CCUACGGGGGGCUGCAGUGAGGAAUAUUGGUCAAUGGGCGCGAGCCUGAACCAGCCAAGUCGCGUGAGGGAGGACGGCCCUACGGGUUGUAAACCUCUUUUGCCGGGGAGCAACGGGCGCCACGUGUGGCGUCACUGAGAGUACCCGGAGAAAAAGCAUCGGCAAACUCCGUGCCAGCAGCCGCGGUAAUACGGAGGAUGCGAGCGUUAUCCGGAUUUAUUGGGUUAAAAGGGUGCUUAGGCGGAUCGUUAAGUCGGUGGUAAAAUUGAGGGGCUCAACCCCUUCCCGCCAUUGAGACUGGCGUUCUUGAGUGGAAGAGAAGUAUGCGGAAUGCGUGGUGUAGCGGUGAAAUGCAUAGAUAUCACGCAGAACCCCGAUUGCGAAGGCAGCAUGCCGGCUUCCGACUGACGCUGAAGCACGAAAGCGUGGGGAUCGAACAGGAUUAGAUACCCUUGUAGUC
rnacentral:rRNA from 1 species